rnacentral:rRNA from 1 species
GCACAAGCGGUGAUGAUGUGGAUUAAUUCGAUGCAACGCGAAAACCUUACCUACCCUUGACAUGUCCGGAAUCCCGAAGAGAUUUGGGAGUGCUCGCAAGAGAGCCGGAACACAGGUGCUGCAUGGCUGUCGUCAGCUCGUGUCGUGAGAUGUUGGGUUAAGUCCCGCAACGAGCGCAACCCUUGUCAUUAGUUGCCAUCAUUUGGUUGGGCACUCUAAUGAGACUGCCGGUGACAAACCGGAGGAAGGCGGGGAUGACGUCAAGUCCUCAUGGCCCUUACAUCCCGGGCUACACACGUGCUACAAUGGCAGGUACAGAGGGCUGCGAAGCCGCGAGGUGGAGCGAAUCCCAGAAAACCUGUCUCAGUCCGGAUUGAAGUCUGCAACUCGACUUCAUGAAGGCGGAAUCGCUAGUAACCGCGAAUCAGCAGGUCGCGGUGAAUACGUUCCCGGGCCUU